AUGGAGCUUCUUAGUGAUGCUCAAUUAUUGAAGACAUUGUUGAAUGAUGGAUCUGAUUAUCCUAUGUUGAUAGUGGAAUUUGUGAUUAUGAAUGAUGGUAUUUCUCAUGGGUUGCUGAAUUUGAAUUACAACCUGAAUAUUAGGAAAGAAUUCUUAGAAAUCGUGUCCAAUAUCUGUGCACCUGAUGAUGAAAUUGAUCUGGUUUUUGAUGAAGAAAUGUAG